CAUCGCCCGCUCCGCGGUGUCUCUGCUAUUCAACCCUGCACGUAUCUCUGAUUUACAGCAACUCGCUCCGUGUGGAAAUUGAGCCCGUCAGAUCAGGAGGGGCCUCUCCUCCCUCCUCCUCCAAAGGAUCUGAAACGGUGCCCUGCAGAAAUCAAGACAAAAAAAACAGCUCUGACCACCGGUCACGACGGCGAGAGCCGCGUGCAUUCUGCCACGCAAACAAAAGCGCGACCUCAAAGUUGUCCCAUCGAGGGAGCCACGCCGCUCGCUCUUUGAGUAAGGCGUGGUAACUGUGUGUGUGUGUGUGUGUGUGUGUGUGUGUGUGUGUGCGUGCGCGCGCGCUCCACCUGCAGAGUGAUGUUUCCCCAUCGGUACAAAGCGAGAACAAGUACAUGCAUGCCGCCCCUGUUUGUCUGCGCUCCCUGGGAGGUGUGUAGCAGCUGAAAGACCUCGCCUGGGACUAAUACACUGACGGCAAAAUGAAGGAAGAAGAAGGAGACGGAAGAGAAGAAGAAGAAGAAGAAGAAGAAGAAGAAGAGAAUGCUGCCGUCACGGCUGACUGCUGUCUACUGACACAGCACAUCCCACACCCCCCUCGUAACUAACAGGCGAUGGACCCUGCAAAUUCAGAAAAUCUGCCACCGACCACUUACGGCAGGUUCCUGUGCAGCUUUUAUUGUUUUGGCAGCAUCACCAGAGGGAACGACAACGUCUGCAUAAAAAGGUUAAGGUCAACUGACAUCCGGCCUGUACCCCUCCUGCCUGAUGAGGCCCAGAGCAACCUCCAAACUCAAACCCCUCACAUCAGUGGAAUAAUGAUGUCUCCUGGCGGCGGCGGUUUGAUGGAAACAGAUACGAGGUAUGGCGGGCUGAGGCCAGACCAGACCAGAGCGGAGGAUGUCAGGGCGGGCCACGGAGAAAUCACCGCCGUCCGACCCCCCCGGAGACAGGAAAAACGUAAAUGUGCAAAAAAGAGUCAGCUGAACCCGAGGUGGGACUGUGAUAGGAUGAGACACAUCGGUCGAGCCAAGAUGCAUCAAAGUCUACAAAGAGGGGCUGACAACUACAAAUGCAAAAUGCACAACUACAAAUCCACAGGAUACAUAAAAACGAAUGUUCAAGUAUUUGAAAGGACACUGUGGCAUCUUGCAUGUGAAUCCAAACAACGGAUAGCCUCAACGAGGAGCAAUUUACUUAAUAAUAUCAUUGAUUAAAGGAUUGAUAUUUUAACCCUUAUCCGUCCGCAUGUCACAGUGGUACGUGGACUACGGCUCUGCAGAUACAGUAGUGACAGUGGCAGGUACAGAGAGUGUGUCGCUAUGGCGACGUUUAUCACUGACCGCUGGAAAAUGAUUGACCAGAUGAGAGAGAUUGAGACGGAUCGUUAGUUAUUCUAAAAAAUCUUUGGAUUUCACGUCCGUUAAGGCAUCAGUAUGGAAACAGAUUUUUUUUUUCUCCAUACUCUCGUUUCUUUUUUUUUCCAUACUCAUCCAGACCCGGAAAUUACUAAAAUCAAACUCUUAUAGUUUUCCAUACUGCGUCGGACCCCUGCUCCAUGCAUGUCGGACAUUCAGCAUCUUAAUGGGACAUCAAAAAAGCUGCAUAUUAUGAUAAUUUUGUUUAGUCUGUUUAUCUAUUUCGAAAAUAUGACUUGAUCCCUCUUGUCUCGGCAGCCGAGGAUGACUGCGGGCCCACAGGAGGAGCUCCUGUCGCCUGACUGCUGCCGUCUCUACUGUGAACAUGAUGAAACCAUGACGGCAGAGGCCAACACCAGUCCGUUACAGUGAACCACAAAGGGAAUCACAUUAGCGAGAAAUGAGUUAUCUUGGUGGAUUUUUUUCAAAGAGAGUGUGGCUCAAACAACAGCGUGAAGAAAACAGCGCUCGGUGCAGUACGAGGGUGAAACUGUUUACCGGCUGUUUAAAGCGUGAUUCAUUUCCUUUGGAUUCAUGUACGCGUUUGAGACAUGCAUAUGAAAAAACACAAAUGCAUGGGAGAUUAUCUCUGCAGUCGCCCACCCCCAGAUUCCCCUGCUCCCUCACACACACACACACACACACAGAUAGAGAGAGACACAACUUAAAGUAGGUCAGAUUUCUUUUCUUCUUCUUCCGGAGAACACGAAAGUGGUCAACUUGCACCAGCGCACGUCGUGAGAUAUUUGGCAGGCGGACAACUUGAGGAACAUUGACCAUCCCUCUCGUGUCACUUCCAAAGUAAUCCUCGGUCGGUUUACAUCUCGGAGCCGGGCUUAUGUGUUUCGGUGCGACUCGAGGCUCCAGAGGCACAGAGGGAGAGAGAGGAUGAUGGCGUUUUUCAAUAACACAGAGAUUCAGAGUCCUCGACAGAGAAGAAGCCCCGCGGCUGAGAGGGAGCAGUCCUCACCGCACCCGGGGGACCGGGUCCUUAUUGGCUCGCGUGUGUCAAUGGAGCCCCGGAUCGGCUUCUCACGACAGUCCAUCUCUAACCGGGUUAAUACUGCCCUGAGUGAUGCCAGCAAUUAAAGCCAUAUCUAACAUUUAUUACCACGCGCUGGUCACCUCUACCCGGGCCUCCCAGAGUAGCGUCUGUGAUUCAACCCCCCCCCCGCCGACGCAGAUGCGGCUGCUACAGAAUGACUGUUAUCUGUCUGGAUAACUAGCACAUUAAGGGCAGGAAGGUCAGUGGCAUCCACAGGAGCCUCAUCCGCACCGUGGCCUGGAGGAAGGGGGCCGCAACCGAGCUGCACGGACCUGAUCAUCUUGUGCUGAGGCUCAUUUCAACUAAUGCGAGGUCACUAGGUUGAUAUGGAAUGGGCCGAAGGGGUUGAGAGCAGGAAAUACAGUGAGUCGCUCACUUAAAACACACUGGUGUUAAGUUUGACUGCUGCAAAUAAGAAUGAUUUACAGGAAAUAUAUUUUCAUUCUAAAGAUAUUUAAAAAACACUUCACAAACCCCAAGGACACCAACCGCCAAUACCAAAAGAAAUUAUAUUUACAAUGAUGAAGCAGAAAGAAAAGAAACGCGUGCUCACAUUUUACACGCAAAUGUUUAAUUUGAGUUGGUUUAACAUUUUAUCGAUUAUCAGAACUGCAGUCAUUCAACUCUCUGUCAAUCAACUAAUCCAUGGUUUCUCUUAGGUUUGAAAAAUCUCCCUACUCCUUUUUGGUUCACGACCUGGAGUAAUGAGUAAACAUUAAAUAUGGAUUUGUUUAAAUACAGGGAGACUUCAGCCAUAAUAACCUAGAGCAGCAAAUUGAGUUAUUAUUGAGUACUAAUAGAGUUUUUGCAGAUCAUAUGAUUUUCCUAACAGUCCACCGUCCAGGGGUUGGGACACGUCACCAUGGAGUGACCACGGUGCUGGAGUUACAUCUCAGGGACGGCGGUGUGGUUACUUUCCAAAGCAAACUAUAUCACAAAAAGCCGGCAUGAGGUACCUUGGAGAAAAAUACGAGACUGUGAUGGAUGAUACGACUCAAGCAACUUUCAACAGUCAACUCUCCAGCAGUUAUAUGGAAGGGUAGGAAAGGAUACCUUUAAGAGGUCUAGUCCUCAAAAUGGUCCACCGCCGUGUCUGAGAUUUGCAGUAUCAUGAUAAAUAAUGGAUUUAAUCCAAGGCCACGCAACAGUUCUUCUGCACAGGCGAGCACCUACACGCCAGCGCCAUCCUCGUCGGUACCAGAGAACAGUUCACCAUCGCUGAUACUCCGGGGGUGAGCGAGUGGAAGUCGGUGAAUGGACGAGCGAGUGCGAGCACUGUAGCGUUGGACAAAAGAGGAGGAAUGACAAGAGCAGGCAGCGAGAAAGGAGCGAGGCCGCUCACGGGGGGCAACAGCACGUACGCCUGCGGCUGAGAGCUUUGUCCGCCGAGAGAGAUAUUCAUGUAUAAGAUAAAGGAAACAUCUUUCUUUCAUAGGAGAGCAGCAGGAGGGGCCAGUGUUGGAAACCAGACCGGCCGCCGCCCCCCCCCCACUGCAUACUCAUUCAGUCUGAUUGAUGGAUCCCGAUUCUGUGUCUGUUGAUGCGUUUGGGGACUCGCUCCACCGAGACGCGAGGUUGUGCAUCUGGUUCAUUCACCGGGGGCCACAUCCACAAUCUGCACUCGCGGCGGGUCGUGAGAGUCAAUGUGUGUUUCCUGUGCGUGAAAAGCUUUUCUGCAACUCCAACAGCGAUCGUUACUUAAUGCUGAUGUCAUUACAGCCUGCAGUGAUUCUUUACCUCAAGGAAAGAACUUAUUAGGGCCAUUACACUAAGUUUUGGCAAUCGCAAGCGCAUCAGAGGCUUUGCUCAAUUUGAAUGCCUCGCACAGAUUAAUCUUUUUUUUUGAAGUGGUUUGGAUUAUUGCUCAUAAUUUCCGUCUGCAAAGCACUCUGACAUUUAAUCAGAAAUGUGAUUUUAGAAAAUGGUUUUCCAAAUGAUCCAAGGAUUCUGAUGCUUCCCCCUUUGACAUGAUACCAACAAUCCCAAAUGAAUCUGAGUCAAACAGGAUCCAUUUGAAACAUCGCUGGUUUAAUUACUCCAUCAAACCAGCCUCCGACAUGUCGUUGUGAAUAUUUGAAGCACUCCGGCGGUAAUCGCCUGGUACAUUUCGCCAUGUUGCUACACUCGUAUUGUCUUUCUCAAUAAUGAGAAUGGGAACAGUUAGACACAGACGACCGACCUAGAAUAAUAAAAACCAU